UGAGGCUUCUCUGAUCCUCAGCCCACUGGCCAGGUAAACUGUGCUCCCGAAGAACAAAACGUAGCCUUGUAGAGUCAUUCUAAUGCGAGGAGAAAAUAGGAUUAGGCCAGAGUGUCAGCCAGGAAGCAAGGAUGCCUCCUGCCUACAUUUGGGUCUUGGAUUGACUCACUACAUCACAGGACUGCUGGGCUCCAGGAUGCGAAGAUCCAGCCACAACUGGCACCAGAGAACAAGAGAAGCUUCCUUUCCAUCUCUGGUGGCCUGCUCACCAAAGACCCUCUGGUCCCGUCAACUUGGUGUUAACUCUUGGGUGUAAAUGCCUUUGAGAAAAUACCCACUGCACCUCCUACAGUGAAUCCCACUGCUCACACAGGGUUUGUAUGAAGUCUGCCCUUUAUGGGCCAUCUACACAUCUCCUGUAUAAGAUACAGAAGGUGAGUCUACAGUCGUACAUAGGAAGAGCGACCUAGGAUUUAGUGGGCCAAAUACAACCACGAAACGUCGCCUGGCAGCCUGAUUCCACAAACGCUGUAACCUUCCUCCUCCCUCCUGUGGGGACUAGGAAAGAAAAGAGAAAGAGAGGCACAGCCUCUGGUCUCGGAGGUAGGCAGGAAUGGAGGGGUUUCUAAGGGCAGGUCAUCUCCUUUCAACAAACUCAGAGAUUUGGCAAGUCACCAGGUAAUUCUUUCAACCACAAAAUCCGCAGGCAACACAAUUUAAAAUCUCUUGGCAGAGACUUCCGGAAGUGCUUCCUCCCUUCUUUCUCUGGAGCUCCAGCUGCAGGACCACCGUGAGGAAGCUGUCACCGCCGCUAAGGCUGGCUGCCCUCUCUGGGAGUUGCACUUCCUUCCUCCGGUCCCUAAUCUGAGGACUGCUGGAUUGCAGACUUGGCAAGUCCAGUGUGUACCUACUGUUACCCCACUGGAGUCCUGAUGUGGCGGGAGGCCUGGUGGAAGGGACAGGGGGUAUUUUCCCUUUUAAUUUAUUCAAUGUUUUGUCUUAAAAACAGAGGGAGGGUAGGCAGCGAUCUUACCUGUUAUUAACUUUCCACCCCCGCUGCCAUCCCCUUAGCUAGAAGAGCCACUGGUUUUUAUUUUUGUUUUUAUCUUAAUGACCUUUCCUACUUCCCCUCCCCUACACUGUUUGAAACCCCGCUGUGGGGUUUGACUGACCCGACCUAGGGUGCUGCCCUCACGUGGACGCCGGCCCUGGGCGUGUCGCGUGUGCGCGGGGACGGCUGUGCGCGCGUCUCUGGACGAGACCAAUUUCUCCAUCGCGCAGCCAUCCCCGCGGACGACGUUUGAAAGGCGGACUGAGGGUGGAGGAGGUCGCGGGGAAAGCGGACCGAAGGGAAAGAAAAAUCAGAAAGACCAUUAGGAUCUGUCCGGGUGCCUGAACUCUUCCUCCUUCCCUAAAGGACCCUACCAAGCCGGUGGCGGCGAGGACGCAAACACCAUUGAGGGGGCUUCCGUGGGUCCGCGGUCUCGCGCUCCGCCGUGCAGAACGAACUGUUAGUGGGCGCUACUGAUCGCGCCGCGCUCGCGGCCUCGCCCCAUUCACACGGCCCCGCGUAAUGAAUUCGUCCAUUUAAAUACAUUACAGGAAUAUUGGAGAUUGCGGAGGACGUGACACUUGACCCUGCAACCCGAACCCCGCAGGGGCAGCCGCCGCCUUGCAAAGUAGCAGUCCCCGAGCAGCGCCGCGCGGCGGUGGCCGGCCAAGCCCUCCGGGAGCUCUCCGGGUCCCCUUCCUCGCCCCCACCCCCGCCUUGCUCGCAGCUUGCCUCUGUCGACCCCUUCCCGCAGCCGCGUUUCAAUCAAACUCACUGAGACGGCACCGAGCGGGCGCCGGGGACAAGAAACGCCUCGCCAGCGACAACGCGCGAACAAGCGGAGCCGCGGGCCCCGGCGCCUCCGCCCACACGCGCCCCGCGUGCUGAAACCCGCACCUGGCCCACGGGUAGCCGGAAAAGCCGGGUCCCGGCCCGCCCGCCGGGCCGCCCCUGCUCCCGCUCCCCCAGCUCCAAGCGCUGCGGCUCAGAAACCCACCCGCCCGGCCCAGCCCCCGCCGGAGCCCUGCACCUUGGGGAGCCGGAGGCUGGGGAGGGGACCAGAGAAGGGGAAGAAGGGGCAUCGCCCUUCUUCCUACCCUGGGACAGCGCCUGGACUGGAGCUGGGUGCCGAGGAAACGACGGGAAGAGCUGACAGAGAGGCGGAGGGAGAAAAGAAAGGAAAAGAGGCAGAGACGAGGAAGGGAAGAAAGGGAUCCGAAGUGACCCGCCCUCGGGCCUCCGCGCCGGUGAUGCCCCGCGCCCAGGGCGAGGCCGUGCUUCGCGGGCAUGAGAAGCCAGGAGGCAGCGGAGUGCGGGUCUGGGGCACCGGGGACAUUGCCAAACAUAAUUGGGGUGCCAAACUGGGCUUCUUAAUCUCGAAGCCAGGAUGGGCGGGUGUGGCCGGGGGUGCGCGGGGUCAGCCAGCUUGGGGUGCUUUCCUUCGGGGCUCACACCGGCAGCGCGGACCGGCCGAGGCCGCUGGGACUGCAAGUCCGCCGCCUGCUUUUGUUCUGGGUUCUGCUGUAAUUUAACAUAAAACGCCUGUUAGAAUCACUGCUGCCGAAACACGCGUUUCUCCUUGUUUUGCCACCAACUAACAGGAUUAGGCAACAAGAGCGAGAUUUCAAAUUAACCAUAAAAAUGACAAAUUGCAAUUCAUUUAGCUGCCCACUUACUACAUUAAAAAACAUAAAUAAAUGAAUCUGCGUAUUCAGAGGGUUGAACGGCCCGCAAGGAAGCGAAAGCGGUUGAACUCAGGCCUCCGGGUGGGAGUCAGGGCUGUGGCGCUGGCGAGAGCGGGCCGCCGCGGAAUUCGCACCGUCUUCCAAGGGCCCGGAAAGAGGC
rnacentral:lncRNA from 1 species